CUGCAGUGCAUUAUGGCAGUCCCAAGACCCUGGGAGACAGCCCCACCCAAAGGAGAAAGCGGAAGGAAGCACUGAACUACAGUUCCCCCGAGGCACCACAAGAUCUCAGGUGGAUUGAGGGGAGUCUCUCAUCUCCAAUCAAUAUCUGCUGAGUUUAGGGGUUUUGGAAGUCCAGGAACCAGAGAGAACUGAGGUGGAGUCCCCCGGUGGAGGUACCUUCCUGAAUGGCUGUCUGAAGGAGGACCAUACCUUCUAGGCAGGUUCCAGUGUAGAUGAAGUUCUGAGGCUUCAGGACAUGGGGUGGUUCCAGACUGAGGUCCUUGUUCCCUUGGUGAUAAUCCCUUUUAUAUGACAAGGCAUCUGCCUUCCCAUUUCUGUUCCUCAGAUGGUAUGAACUACUGAAGCCAUAUUGGAAGAAGAAAAGUGCCCACCUGAACUUAUCUUGGGUUUAGGACCGGUGC